UACGUAGGCAGCGAGCGUUGUUCGGAAUUACUGGGCGUAAAGAGUGUGUAGGCGGUGCUCUAAGUUCGGUGUGAAAUCUCCUGGCUCAACUGGGAGGGUGCGCCGGAAACUGGAGUGCUUGAGCGUGGGAGAGGAAAGCGGAAUUCCUGGUGUAGCGGUGAAAUGCGCAGAUAUCAGGAAGAACACCCCGUGGCGAAGGCGGCUCUCUGGGACGGUACUGACGCUGAGACGCGAAAGCGUGGGGAGCGAACAGG
rnacentral:rRNA from 1 species